rnacentral:misc_RNA from 1 species
AGGCCAGGCAAAUAGAUCCUGGAAGUGCUGAAGUGACUGCGGCAUUGAGGAAUGUAAGAUCUGUAGCAAAUGCCCGAGCUGAGGGGAACAGGCUGUUCAAUUCUGGAAAGUUUGUAGAAGCUUGUUUAGCCUAUGGGGAAGGGCUCAAACUCGAUCCCUCCAACCCUGUCCUCUAUUGCAAUAGAGCAGCCUGCAGGUCGAAACUUGGCCAGUGGGAGCGGUCUGUCGAUGAUUGCAAUGAGGCACUUAAGAUCCAACCUAAUUACACGAAGGCACUUCUGCGGCGUGCUUCCUCCAGUGGCAAACUUGAGCGCUGGGCUGAAUCUGUUCAAGACUAUGAAAUCCUACGAAAGGAGCUUCCAGGUGAUGCUGAUGUGGCUGAAGCCCUUGUCCAUGCCCAACUUGCACUGAAGACAUCUCGUGGUGAGGUCUCUACUUUGAGGCUUGGUGGUGAGGUUGAGGAAGUUACUGCACCGGGACAAUUCCAAGCAGCAAUUUCUACUCCAGGAGUCCAUGUCGCAUUUUUCUCUGAGCCAUCGAACCAGGACUGCAUCCAGAUGAGCCAAUUUGUAGACACCCUAUGCAACAAAUACCCGUCAGUGAAUUUUCUCAAGAUUGACAUCCACAAGCGCCUCGUUGCAGAGGCCGAGCGAGUCAAGAUGGUCCCAACUUUUUCAAUAUACAAGAACGGCGCAAGGGUGAAGGAGCUGAUCCGCCCCAACCCGCAGACGCUGGAGUAUGCGAUGAGAUGCAUUGGUCUCUAAGCCUUCAUUGUCUUUGAUCUGAAGA